rnacentral:rRNA from 1 species
UACGAAGGGUGCAAGCGUUAAUCGGAUUUAUUGGGCGUAAAGGGCGUCUAGGCGGAUAAGAAAGUCAAAUGUGAAAUCCCAAGGCUUAACCUUGGAACGGCAUUUGAAACUCCUUGUCUAGAGGGUAGACGGAGAAAGUGGAAUUCCACAUGUAGCGGUAAAAUGCGUAGAUAUGUGGAAGAAUACCGGUGGCGAAGGCGACUUUCUAGUUUAUUCCUGACGCUGAAGCGCGAAAGCAAGGGUAGCAAACAGG